UUUCAAAGGAACAAUUUUUGCAAUUUAAUAAAAUCAAUUUGUAUGUUUACAAAAGGUACUCAUUAUGGGAUGAGCUGCAAACUUCACUUUUCAAGCAGUGUCAUAUGCCUGACAAAUAGAAGAAUUUAAACAGUCACAGAAAAAGAAUUUGAAGCAAAUUAAUAUCUUUAAAAUCUUUUCCAAAAAGUGUUGAUUAAUUCAGAUCAAGUGUAUUCCAUAAGAGUUUCUAAUUUUGAUUAUGAUAUAUCCAACUGCUACAGGGGCAAGAAGCAUAAACAAUCUCGGUUUAGACAAACUCUUUUCAUCCAAAGUGUAUUCUCUGCGUGGCCCCAUAUUCUUCAAAUUUGUUGUUCACUUCAACAAGAUGAGGCAAGGACCUGAGAGCUAUUGUCACGGACCAUCUCAUCUUUUUAUUUGUAUUUUCAAUGUCUGGCACAAUGUCUGGCACAAGAUGUGCAGCCGAUCUCUAAGCCAGGCACCAGACAUUUCCCACAUGCUGUCAGCUGCUCUUAGCCAAUGACCAAGACCUUUCAAUUCCUCUCAAGUUUAUUAAGGAGCCUCCUCCAAAGCAAGAAAAAGAACAAAGAAGCACAACUCUUCUUAAUACAUCUUUUACACCAGCCAAAGUCUAAAAUGGGUAUACACU
rnacentral:lncRNA from 1 species